rnacentral:rRNA from 1 species
UUGUCUCUCUUGAGUGGAUCCUGAGUACGACGGAGCACGUGAAAUUCCGUCGGAAUCUGGGAGGACCAUCUCCUAAGGCUAAAUACUCUCUAGUGACCGAUAGUGAACCAGUACCGUGAGGGAAAGGUGAAAAGCACCCCGGAAGGGGAGUGAAAUAGAACCUGAAACCGUGUGCUUACAAGUAGUCAGAGCCCGUUAAUGGGUGAUGGCGUGCCUUUUGUAGAAUGAACCGGCGAGUUACGAUUUGAUGCAAGGUUAAGCAGUAAAUGUGGAGCCGUAGCGAAAGCGAGUCUGAAUAGGGCGUUUAGUAUUUGGUCGUAGACCCGAAACCAGGUGAUCUACCCUUGGUCAGGUUGAAGUUCAGGUAACACUGAAUGGAGGACCGAACCGACUUACGUUGAAAAGUGAGCGGAUGAACUGAGGGUAGCGGAGAAAUUCCAAUCGAACCUGGAGAUAGCUGGUUCUCUCCGAAAUAGCUUUAGGGCUAGCCUCAAGUGAUGAUUAUUGGAGGUAGAGCACUGUUUGGACGAGGGGCCCCUCUCGGGUUACCGAAUUCAGACAAACUCCGAAUGCCAAUUAAUUUAACUUGGGAGUCAGAACAUGGGUGAUAAGGUCCGUGUUCGAAAGGGAAACAGCCCAGACCACCAGCUAAGGUCCCAAAAUAUAUGUUAAGUGGAAAAGGAUGUGGCGUUGCCCAGACAACUAGGAUGUUGGCUUAGAAGCAGC